GAUGCAGUGCCCAUUAAGGCGGAUGCAGUGAGCCUGCAUUGACUGCGGUGCACCUGCAGUGCCAGUACAGCUGUAUGCCGUGUUGCUGUAGUGGUUGCCGAGCCAACUAAAGUGUUCCUGAACCUGGAUGCAGUGCACAUGCAGUGGAUGCGGUGUCCCACAAUGUGCAUGAGGUAUGUAGUGAUGGAGCAAGCAGUGCCCAUGAAGGUGGAUGCCGUAUUACUGUAGUGGUUGCAGUGCCAAAUGCAGUUUACAUGAUUUUUGAUGCAGUGAACAUGAAUUGCAUGCAGUGUCCCACAAGGUUGAUGCACUAUGUUUUGAUGGAGGAUGCAGGGCCCAUGAAUGUGGAUGCAGUGUCCCUGCAGUGCUUGCAGUGAAGCCUGCAUUAUCUGGGAAUGUGGAGGCAGUAGUGAUGCAGUGGAUGCAGUGUCCCACAAGGUGGAUGCAGUAUGUUGUGAUGGAGGAUGCAGGGCCCAUGAAGGUGGAUGCAGUGUCCCUGCAGUGCUUGCAGUGCCCCCAGCAUUGUCCACUAAUUUGGAUGCAGUAUUCAUGCAGUGAUGCAGUGUCCCACAAUGUGCAUGCAGUAUGUUGUGACGGAGGAUGCAGUGCCCAUGAAGGUGGAUGCAGUGAUGCGGCACUGGUUGCAGUGCAUACUGCUCUGUUCCAGAAUGUGGUGGUGUGAACAUGCAGUGGAUGCAGUGAUCCUGCAGUGAUUG
rnacentral:lncRNA from 1 species